CUCAAGAAACGCACACAUUCAAAAGUCUGGCCUCGCCCCUUGGGCCCCGCGGCAUUUCCGAGUAACCGGCUUUCUGAUGCAUAAUGAAGACGUUUCUUUGCUGGCGACGAGCGCACUUUAAAAUUAGCAGAGUGUUUCUUAACAUGUGAUCCAAGGUGCUUCUCUCAAAGUUUGAAUCUGAAAAUUGCUCUCUGAUGUCCAUCUAAGACAACUUCCAUCAGAAUAAAGCGUGGCCCAGUUAUCUUACAAGUCCGUGGACAUUGUAUAUGAACCAAACACAAGAAGACCCUGAAAGGAAACAAGGAGAGAGGGACUAGGCACCUUGUGACCCAAGGAGUGACAUGAUGAAUGCACUGCCCGGGGCGCUCUCUCCUCGGCGCCGGCUGGCUCAGCAGAAAGCUGCGGGGAAGCUGGCGGAGAGCUUAGUCACGGCCUUUCGAACCCUCCUCCACUGCUUCCAAGUUCAAAGGAGAGAAGAAACGAGAAACGAGGCCUCCCAGACCUUCACAGGGAGACACCCUGCCGGAGCAGCACCAACCAUCUCCCAAGCAGCCCCACCAUUACCCUCUUCAUCAUUGCAGAAGUACAACGAUAGGAUGGAGACUACUUUGAAGCACCUGCUGUGUGCAACCUCAGUGCCAAGUGCCCUCGUACCUGCCCUGGAGCCCUCCCGGCCGCCUGACCACGUGGAUACUGUUAGCCCUCCUUAGAGACGAGAGAGCUGAGUCUCAGAGACACAGAUUAACUUGCCAGAGAGCACACGAGGAGAGGAUGGAGGAGCUGGAAGGGGCCCCACCCCUGCUGCCCCCGUUCUUUCAAGACACCAUCCAGCCUCAGGAAUACAAAAGAAAAGGGAACGUAUUCCAGUUACUCCUGGAAGCGCACACACGCAGGGAGUCCCCAGCCUGUUCCCCACACACGACCCGAUGUCCUCACCUGUCUCCCCGACCUCUUCUUUUUCCACCUUCUGUCGCAUCUUUCUUCACCCCUACCACGUGGCACCAGUGUUGACUGAGGCACCUGACUGCACACUAAGGACUGAAUUUUCCAGUUGACGCUGGUCCAAGGGUCUGGGUGGGGAGUGGCUGCUUAAAUGGGUACAGAAUUCCUUUUGGGGGGAAUGCAUUCGCUCUGGAGCUAGAGACAGACGGUGGGGGCACAACAUUGGGAAUGUGCGAAAUGCCACUGGAUUGUUCACUUUAAAAUGAUUAAUUUUAGGUGAUGGGAUUUUCACCUGAGUAAAUUAAAAAGGCUUGGGAAAUGUCCAACAAAGGAACUCCAUGGCUGAUUGUUUAAAAAUAUUUUAAUGUUUAUUUAUUUUUGAGAGACAGAGUGCGAGUGGGGGAGGCACAGACAGAGGGAGACACAGAAUCCGAAGCAGGCUCCAGGCUCGAGCUGUCACCACAGGGCCUGAUGCGGGGCUCAAACUCAUGAACCAUGAGAUCAUGACCUGAGCCAAAGUCGGACCCUCAACCGACUGAGCCACCCAGGCGCCCCGUGGCUGAUUGUUUUUAAUACUGUCCCAGCCUAACAGCGCAUCAUGCCUCCUUCUUUGCUGGAAGCACGCUCUCAUCAGAUGUGUCCAGGCAGCAGGGAACAGUUCCCUGAGACCCCUGUGGUGUGGGCAGGUUGUUAGGUGAGUCACAAUGGGACAGAGUUUCGGAUGCCCUGCCCUCUCUCCCAUCUCAACAUCUCCCAUGCCUACACAUCCUGUUCACACUAAAGUUGAGGCAAGACAGGAUAUCCAGAGACUUGGAGGUCAGGCUUACCAAAAAGUGACUCAGUGAAAUGGAUUCUCAGUGCACCUGUCCCUCAGAGACUAAGACUUCUCCUUGUGACACUUCUAGAAAACCAAUGACAGACAGAACUGCCCGCCUACGUCCUGGAACACCCUCCCCAGGGAGCAUGAUGAGGCAGCUUCCUAAUUGCUGGGUGGCCUCUGAAUGCUGUGACCCUCUGAGACAUGUCACCUGGCAGGUUCUCCAAGAGGUGCUGCCUGUCCCACAGGCUGCAAGAGGCCACGGAAGGAGCAGGACCAGCCUGGCCACAGCUGUGAGCCUUCUUGACGAGAGAAAGAUACCAAGAGCAAAACGCAGCUGAACUUUCCCAACAGAGGUGUCCAGACAAAUCCCUGAACACACACGUUCACAGCAGCAUGACAAUAACCAGAGGCGGAAGCAUCUCCAGUGGCCAUCAGUGGAUGAGUGGAUAAACAAAUUGUGGCAGAUCCCUACCAUGGAAUAUUACUCAGGCGUAAAAAGGACUAAAGCACUGACACCUGUAUGAUGUUAACAACAACCCCCCCCCCUUAAACAUUAUACUCUGUGAAAGAAGCCAGACACACAAAGGACCCAAUAUUGCAUGAUUCCAAUUAGAUGAACUAUCUAGAAGAGUAAAUUCAUAGAGACAGGAAGCACAUUGGUGGUUUCGAGCAUUACGGAGAGGGGUGUAGGGGAACAGGGCUUGAUUGCUUAGUGGGUAUGAGGUUCCCAUGAUGAAAAUGUUAUGGAA